rnacentral:rRNA from 1 species
CUACGGGGGGCACCAGGCGAGAAAACUUUGCAAUGUGCGAAAGCACGACAAGGUUAAUCCGAGUGGUUUCUGCUAAAGGAACCUUUUGUCGGUCCUAGAAACACCGAUGAAUAAGGGGUGGGCAAGUUCUGGUGUCAGCCGCCGCGGUAAAACCAGCACCUCAAGUGGUCAGGAUGAUUAUUGGGCCUAAAGCAUCCGUAGCCGGCUCUGUAAGUUUUCGGUUAAAUCUGUAUGCUCAACAUACAGGCUGCCGGGAAUACUGCAUAGCUAGGGAGUGGGAGAGGUAGACGGUACUCGGUAGGAAGGGGUAAAAUCCUUUGAUCUAUUGAUGACCACCUGUGGCGAAGGCGGUCUACCAGAACACGUCCGACGGUGAGGGAUGAAAGCUGGGGGAGCAAACCGGAUUAGAUACCCCGGUAGUC